GGCAGGGCGGCAGCUUACCAUGCAGUCGAACGGCAGCACGGGGGUAACCCUGGUGGCGAGUGGCGAACGGGUGAGUAAUAUAUCGGAACGUACCCUAGAGUGGGGGAUAACGUAGCGAAAGUUACGCUAAUACCGCAUACGAUCUACGGAUGAAAGUGGGGGCUCGCAAGACCUCAUGCUCAUGGAGCGGCCGAUAUCUGAUUAGCUAGUUGGUGAGGUAAAGGCUCACCAAGGCGACGAUCAGUAGCUGGUCUGAGAGGACGACCAGCCACACUGGGACUGAGACACGGCCCAGACUCCUACGGGAGGCAGCAGUGGGGAAUUUUGGACAAUGGGGGCAACCCUGAUCCAGCAAUGCCGCGUGAGUGAAGAAGGCCUUCGGGUUGUAAAGCUCUUUUGUCAGGGAAGAAACGGUGAAGGCUAAUAUCCUUUGCUAAUGACGGUACCUGAAGAAUAAGCACCGGCUAACUACGUGCCAGCAGCCGCGGUAAUACGUAGGGUGCAAGCGUUAAUCGGAAUUACUGGGCGUAAAGCGUGCGCAGGCGGUUAUGUAAGACAGAUGUGAAAUGCCCGGGCUCAACCUGGGAACUGCAUUUGUGACUGCAUGGCUAGAGUGUGUCAGAGGGGGGUAGAAUUCCACGUGUAGCAGUGAAAUGCGUAGAUAUGUGGAGGAAUACCGAUGGCGAAGGCAGCCCCCUGGGAUAACACUGACGCUCAUGCACGAAAGCGUGUGGAGCAAACAGGAUUAGAUACCCUGGUAGUCCACGCCCUAAACGAUGUCUACUAGUUGUCGGGUCUUAAUUGACUUGGUAACGCAGCUAACGCGUGAAGUAGACCGCCUGGGGAGUACGGUCGCAAGAUUAAAACUCAAAGGAAUUGACGGGGACCCGCACAAGCGGUGGAUGAUGUGGAUUAAUUCGAUGCAACGCGAAAACCUUACCUACUCUUGACAUGGCACGAAUCCCGAAGAGAUUUGGGAGUGCUCGAAAGAGAACCUGCACACAGUGCUGCAUG
rnacentral:rRNA from 1 species